rnacentral:rRNA from 1 species
UACGGAGGGGUGCAAGCGUUUGUCCGGAAUCACUGGGCGUAAAGGGCGCGUAGGCGGCUCAUGAAGGCUGUGGUGAAAGUCCGGGGGCUCAACCUCGGAUCGGCCGUGGCGACUCGUGGGCUGGAGCACUAUAGAGGCGGGUGGAAUUCCGGGGUGUAGCGGUGGAAUGCGUAGAGAUCCGGAAGAACACCAGUGGCGAAGGCGGCCCCGCUGGGCA